CCCUGCGUCCCUCGGGGCGCGGUGGGCCCCGCCCGGGCCCGACUGUCUGCGCUCCCGGCGGCGGACUCCCUCGGGCCGACCCCUGCCGCCCUCGCGCCAGCCCUGCUGAUGAGCGGCCGCUCGAUCGCUCCCAGGCUGCUCUUCGCGGGGCGCGGUCUGUGUCUCCCAGGGUCUCGCUGGGAGGAGGCCCUGCGCGCCGGCUCAGUCAGACCAGGGGUACCCUCCCUGCAUCUACACCACAGGCGGCAGCCUGGCGCCCGGGGCAGGGGGCAGGCAGGACAGGAGCUCCGUUUGCUGUUUGUUCCGCUGCGAGGAAGAGAUAUUAGCUCAGGGCCAAUCAUUAAAUAAAUAAAUGAACAAUGUCAAAUAAAAACGGCAAGUAAUAGGAUAUAUUGGAAUAUAUGAGGAAGCCAUUUUGGUGUAAACCUAAUUCGGCCUGACCUUGUCUUUCCAAAAGGGCCUGACCCAGGCUGUUGAGCAUGCAUUGUAUAUCUGCUUUAGAGAUUCCCUAUGGCAAGAGCAAAAGGCCCUUGAGAUAAAGGUGCAACUUCCCUCCCCCUCCCAACACUGGCGUCUCCUUAAGGAUUAAGCUUCUUUCCUUAGGCUAGAAACUGAUUGCUGCGCUCACCUGUGACCGCCCAGCUUGAGGCAAUAGACUUGCCUCCUGCUACACCCACGAAGAUAGCAGACCCACUACCUGCUGAGUCCAUCAAGUGCUGUGCGGACAGGGCAAUCUUGUGACUAUUGUGGGAGGGACAUUUCAAUCAUAUGUGAAACACCCUCUUUGAGGGUAUAUAACCGCCCUAUGUACCCCCACUUCUUUGGAGUGCUCUGUUCCUUUGUGGAAAGACUCUCCCGGGUUAUAAUCCUAAAAUUUAAGCUCAGAAUAAACUCACCCAAAUUUUCAUUUAUAGAUUGGUUAUGGAUUAUUUUCGUCCACAACAACAACAGAAAAACCAGAAAGGAGGAUCCCACCCAGCAUCAGAGAAUAGAAGGUCAAAGAUGAGUGAAGCUCUUCCUCAAGCUCCACAUACCCAGGAGAAGGUUAGCAUGCCUGAGGCAAAUUCAUCCGUUCCAUUCGAAGCCAGAGAACAAGCAGGGAAGGAAGAUGACCCAGGAUUGGACAUCUGCAGGCCUGGUGGACAGGCUGUGCCAGAGACCGAGGCAGGGUGGAAUCCCAAUGAUCCUGAGGAUCGAGGAAAGGGGGGAUAUUUUCAGGGUCCGCUUCUGAAAGCCAUGAAAAGAGUAAGCCAGCCACUCAUUAUGUGGCCUAAAUUAAGAGAGGUCCAAUAGGGCCCUGAGGAAAGCCGGCUCCCCCUCUACACACACACACUUUGUUCCAGAGGCCGCAGGACUGCCUCAGGCGAUACACAAAUUGGGACCUGGAGGCCUGGGGCAGUACAGUGAUCCUGAAUCCAUAUUUCAGAUCUCAGAAGUGCUCCAGAUACCCAUGGGAAACUCCAAAAGUUGGCCAUCGGUCCUGCUACCAGUCCUGCACAGCUACGAGUGGCUGCGUGGAGGGUACUCAAUAACCGGGUUGAAGCUGAGGAUGAAAAGGAAGACAAGAAGAUGAAAAGGCAGGCCGCCCUGCUCGCUGUGGCCCACCAGUCUCCUCAAGGUAACCUGAGGGAGAGGAGGCAUAUGCCAUGGGUGAGUAACCCCGGCCCCCACCGAGGGGCCAGGAGGCCACCAACAACAGCGGGGGCUAACCGGUGUGCGGACCGCCAACAGGAAGGGUGUUGGUGGCAGGAUUGUCCAAACUAUCCCCAGGAAGGGAAGGGAUCGAAGAAGACCGAGCUGUGGCAGUUUCCCUUGACUACAGGAGGCCCCAGUGACCUUGGCAGGAAGGAGGAGAGCAGGCUGAAUCUUUGUUCUCUAGUGGAGCCAUGUUCUUGGUGUUGAAUGCCCACAAGGGAAACCUUUCUUAACGAAAGUGUGAACUGAAGGAGGUCUCGGGAAAGGGAGAGACCAAAAGAUUUCUGGAGCCCUGGACCUGUGAAACAGGGUCCAAACUGCUGAAGGAUUCCACACUGUGUGUACCAGAAUGCCCCGUUCCCCACCCACUUCUAGCGAGGGACAUGCUAUGUAAGUUAGGGGCCUCCACAGGCCGGGAACAAGAGAAAAUCGAGAUCCAAGGGCCAAAAAGUGGGGGAGGUGAGCUGCUGGCCCUCUUACAGGAUACAGCAGCCCCUGAGAAGGAAGAGAUUCCCCUACAUGUUUCAAGCAGGGCUAACUCGGAACUAUGGGCCCAAGGACAGGUGGAGUGAGCAGCCGGUGCCACGCCAGGAAAGGU
rnacentral:lncRNA from 1 species